rnacentral:pre_miRNA from 2 species
GUGUAGGGCAAUCUGUCUUUAGGGAUAAAUUACUCUAAAACAAAGAAUCCUAGUUUUCCCUUCAAGUUAAGCAUCUUGU